GGGCGCGGGCCCUUGUGCGGCCGGCCAGGCUGCCUGGGAGCGCCUCUUCGGGCUGCGGUCGGGUGUGUCUGUGUGCUCCGCGUCAUCUAUCAGGGAUACCCAGAGAAGUCAGGGGACUUGGCGUCCUCACCUUUCUGUAAAAACGUUGUACUUUGUUCGAGCUUCUCUAGAUCUCUGUGAGAUGUGAGGAUGCACCCUGCUCACGAGGAGAAGCAGCUGCCUGUGCCCUAAGGAUACCAAUAGCCCUGACCAGUCUCUACCCUCUGCUCAGGGGCUCUACUCUUGCAAGAGCUGUGUUGUAGCAGUACCAGCCUCCAACUCAGCAACAGCCACACCCCUGCUUCCCACCUGGGCUUUGGACCACACUUUUACUCCACACUUGUCUGGUGAACACCAGGCUGUGUCUGACCCCGGAUAUCAUCACCAGGUCUGAUCCUCACUUUGGCCUUGGACCUGCCUCAUCACCAUGGGCAUGCCUGGUGACAAUCAGGCCAUGCCUGACCCAGACUAACAUCACUGGACCUGCCCCUGAGACACAUUUAUGCAUUGACCUCAGAGCUGCCUCACUACCAGGGACUUGCAUGGACUGGACACUUGGUUUCCCUGAGUGCUCUCCCAGUGCCUGUCCUACUGAUAUUACUUAGAGUGUGUGGGACAUGGACUUCCCUGUCCCUCCACUGGGGAGCAGCCAGCUCUUGCUGCUUUUUGAUACUGAGAGCAUGGAUUCUACUGGCACUUAUUCAGCAAGAGACAUGGGGGCAACUGCAACAAGACUGGCAAUUAUUUCACAGCAUAGUGCAAUGGUUUUGUCUUUCCUGUUGAAGAGUCUUAAAAAGGUUGAGCACAGAAUAUUGACUAUUGGAAGUAUAUUUGAUCUUCAGCCAGGUGUUGAAACGUAACAGCCUCUCUGCAGUAAUGUUCUGCUUAUACACUGAUGGUUCAAUUUUGUGUAAAGAGUGCUAAAAGUAGUUAAAACAGAGAGUUUAGUGCUGUGGCAAUAGCUGUAUGCUUUUGAAUACCAUUGGCAUCAGACUUAAUUCUUAGACAUUAUAAUUACAUGUAAGCUCAUUCUCUGUGCGUUUGCUCUAACUUGUCUUCCCUAUUUAAUCUACAUUACAAUAUUUUGUACUUGAAAAGGAAUAUUGUAUGAAAGAAGCAGGUGAUUCGAUUCUGCUCUCUGUUACUGUUAGAUAAAUUUCACUGAUGUUGGUAGAGUUACCAGGAUUUGUUUAACUGCAAUUAGAAUUUAAUGCAUUUGUUGUUGUUAUUCUUA